GCCGGUAUAGCGCAGUGGUUAGCGCGUCUGUCUCGUAAACAGAAGGCCGCCAGUUCAAAUCUGGCUUCCGGCA